AGUGAAAAGCGAAAACAGGGUACUAAUGUAGGUCUUUCCUAACAGUCGCCGUAAAGUGAACGUUCGAAAAGCGGGGGGACACCUGUAGUGGCGAGCUCUCGACUCGGCCCGGGAACAGUAGACAGCGGUUCUUGAUUCCCGCCGGCGGGUUAACUGACGGACCCACCUCGGUGACGAAACUUUACAGGCUCGUUUUGGCGGGGUAACGACAUGGUUCCUCCGCUGAGGAAAGGCCAAUUACCCGCACUCACUUAGGCCGGAGACUAGGCUUGCUCUGGCCAGAUGACUUUGCAAACACUCUCGCGCCGAACAGCUGAAAGCCGGAGACUAUAAACUACCGGUUUAGCCAAGAGUAAAUUGCCUCUGAUCAUCAAGGCCGAGGGACACGUGAAAACAUAAAACCAAAGGGGAACAGGGAGUCAACGGUCCGGAUCGGAAUGUAAACAAAGUAAAUUUAAAGAAACCCCGAUCCGGACCGUGACCCCUUCGGAAAGAAGGAGGAGAGUCAGUACCAACUCCCGUCUUUGUGGUCAGGCUGGUCCCGUAAAAGCCAACGCUCGCUCGUACAGAGGGGACUACGGGCGAGCAGUACUUCCUUCCCCCUCUCCGUCACUCGAACCCUGAUACCUGCUUUUAUACUGACUGAAGGGAGGAGACGCACCGAUUCAGUUUUUAUCGACACUGGGGCUGAGGGAAACUUUAGGUUCCAGUUUUGAGGCCAAUCUCGGGAUGCCACUCUCCCGUCUGAAGCAACCCCUGGAGGCCAGCGCCGUAACCGGAGUGAAAUUUACCACGGUUACCCACUCUACAGCUCCGGUUAUCACCAUUCCAGUGCUGUCUUGGCUAGCAACCCCCCUUAUUCACAUCUCAGGAGGAGGAAGUGGGCAUUCCCUCAGCUGAAGUGUUUGUCCAGAGGUGUUCACGGACCUGGAGACAAGCCCGAAAGGCACUGCUUCAAUCUAUGUCGUGGUUUUACAAAUGACAAAGAGGCGCCGAAGAUUCUUCGAGAAAUGUUUGAACUUUAAUUUGCAAAGUAAAGCUGAGACAGACAGUGGGCUAGCCUUUGAAUGCCCACCACUGAAUGCCUGUCGAUGUUUUCACAUAGCAUUCUUUAUAGCACCCCUUCUGGGUUAACAGCAUUAGCAUAUCGCUGUAAGUUUCAAUCUAGCUAAUAAAUCAAUUACUCUUA